AGGCACGGUUGAGAGAUAAGGAGAACACUCCACGCUUCAAGCUUCUUUCUUCUUCAAGAACUGAACUUGGCUGGUAAUGUCUUCAAGGGUUUGGUUUGAGCUGAGAUGAGAGCUGUGGAUUUGCGGAAGCUCAGCUCAGGUUCUGAUGAACCUGGCUCUGAUACCAUAUGAGAUUUGAGAGCUCUGGCUGUGUAUGUGUAUGAGAAGCCAUUAGAGGCAAAGAAUAAGGUCUUGAACUAGUUGAAUAAGAGGUCUGAGGAAACUAGUAUGAACUUGAAUCAGAAACAAA
rnacentral:lncRNA from 1 species